rnacentral:lncRNA from 1 species
GUUUUUAAUGGACCAAGGAGUAAUGCUUCUGUCUCAAUAUGACUUUUCCUGGUGUUAUUUGGUUUAUGCAAUUGGAGGUAAUGGAUUGAUUUUUGCGUUUUUUUGCGUUUUUUUGCACUUGCUUUUGCAUGAUGUUUGAUUAAUGGCAAUUGUAAUGUAAUGUGUUUUGUAGAAUGCAGAUAUCAUAAUCAAUUCAAAGAAAUAAGUAAGGUGUCUCACUAUAGUGGUGAUAGUGUUAUUAACUGCAUAGAUCCGGAAGAACAUUGUAUUGAUUAUUUCUACUUAAUUUUUACUCAGAAGAAUUUGCAACUAUCUGUUACUACAUACUUACAAAUUUGUUUUGGCUUAUUUACUAUCACAUGGUUGUUUAUGGCACAUUAGUUUUGGUUGGUUGUUAGACUUAGAUUGGUUUCACAAGAGCUUUGUAAAUAUUAGUGACUUAUUAACUUGUGGAGUUUUGUUUAUAGGAACAGAGGUUUUUAAUCACUGCUUCUUUAUUAUCUAGGUCAUCCAAAUCAAAGGGUGUGAUGGUGCAAUUGCAGAUCUCUAGUCAUGUGGUGUUAGUCUUGAUGAUGUAAAUUCUAUUAUUACAUAUUUUUAUUAUUUGUUGUACAUUUUGUGCAAUUAUGAUUGUAUUUUUUAUGAAAGUUUAAGCACGGUAACGAUCUGGAUUAAAAAAUCUGUG